UACGUAGGGGGCUAGCGUUGUUCGGAAUUACUGGGCGUAAAGCGCGCGUAGGCGGUUUGUAAAGUCAGAUGUGAAAGCCCCGGGCUCAACUUGGGAACUGCAUUUGAUACUGUCAGACUAGAGUACAGAAGAGGUGACUGGAAUUCCCAGUGUAGCGGUGAAAUGCGUAGAUAUUGGGAGGAACACCAGAUGCGAAGGCGGGGCACUGGGCUGAUACUGACGCUGAAGUGCGAAAGCCAGGGGAGCAAACAGG
rnacentral:rRNA from 1 species